rnacentral:rRNA from 1 species
CAGGGAAUCUUCUGCAAUGGACGCAAGUCUGACGGAGCAACGCCGCGUGAGUGAAGAAGGAUUUCGGUUCGUAAAACUCUGUUGUUAGAGAAGAACAGCGCAUAGAGUAACUGUUAUGCGUGUGACGGUAUCUAACCAGAAAGCCACGGCUAACUACGUGCCAGCAGCCGCGGUAAUACGUAGGUGGCAAGCGUUGUCCGGAUUUAUUGGGCGUAAAGCGAGCGCAGGCGGUUAGAUAAGUCUGAAGUUAAAGGCAGUGGCUCAACCAUUGUAGGCUUUGGAAACUGUUUAACUUGAGUGCAGAAGGGGAGAGUGGAAUUCCAUGUGUAGCGGUGAAAUGCGUAGAUAUAUGGAGGAACACCGGUGGCGAAAGCGGCUCUCUGGUCUGUAACUGACGCUGAUGUGCGAAAGCGUGGGGAUCAAACAGG